AACGAACGCUGGCGGCAGGCUUAGCACAUGCAAGUCGAGCGCCCCGCAAGGGGAGCGGCAGACGGGUGAGUAACGCGUGGGAAUCUACCCAUCUCUACGGAAUAACGCAUGGAAACGUGUGCUAAUACCGUAUACGUCCUUCGGGAGAAAGAUUUAUAGGAGGUGGAUGAGCCCGGGUUGGAUUAGCUAGUUGGUGGGGUAAAGGCCUAAGAAGGCGACGAUCCAUAGCUGAUCUGAGAGGAUGAUCAGCCACACUGGGACUGAGACACGGCCCAGACUCCUACGGGAGGCAGCAGUGGGGAGUAUUGGACAAUGGGCGCCAGCCUGAUCCGGCCAUGCCGCGUGAGUGAUGAAUGCCCUAGGGUUGUAAAGCUCUUUCACCGGUGAAGAUAAUGACGGUAACCGGAGAAGAAGCCCCGGCUAACUUCGUGCCAGCCGCCGCCGUAACAC
rnacentral:rRNA from 1 species